rnacentral:ncRNA from 1 species
UCAUCAAGAGCAGCCGAGGGACUGGCCCUAUGACGCUGCGGCAACCUCCGUGGGGAACGGAAUGGUGCCAAUUCCAGCGGGCGUUUGCCCGGCAGAUGAG